rnacentral:rRNA from 1 species
AAAGAAACCAACCGGGAUUGCCUCAGUAACGGCGAGUGAAGCGGCAAGAGCUCAAAUUUGAAAUCUGGCCCCUCCGGGGUCCGAGUUGUAAUUUGUAGAGGAUGCUUCGGGUGCGGCCCCUGUCUAAGUGCCCUGGAAUGGGCCAUCGGAGAGGGUGAGAAUCCCGUCUGGGAUGGGGUGUUCCGUGCCCGUGUGAAGCUCCUUCGACGAGUCGAGUUGUUUGGGAAUGCAGCUCUAAAUGGGUGGUAAAUUUCAUCUAAAGCUAAAUACUGGCCGGAGACCGAUAGCGCACAAGUAGAGUGAUCGAAAGAUGAAAAGCACUUUGAAAAGAGAGUUAAACAGCACGUGAAAUUGUUGAAAGGGAAGCGCUUGCGACCAGACUCGCCCACGGGGUUCAGCCGGCUUUCGGGCCGGUGUACUUCCCCGGGGGCGGGCCAGCGUCGGUUUGGGCGGCCGGUCAAAGGCCCCCGGAAUGUAACGCCCUCUCGGGGGCGUCUUAUAGCCGGGGGUGUCAUGCGGCCAGCCUGGACCGAGGAACGCGCUUCGGCACGGACGCUGGCAUAAUGGUCGCAAACGAC